AACGAACGCUGGCGGCAUGCCUAACACAUGCAAGUCGAACGAGACCUUCGGGUCUAGUGGCGCACGGGUGCGUAACGCGUGGGAACCUGCCCUUAGGUUCGGAAUAACUCCCCGAAAGGGGUGCUAAUACCGGAUAAUGUCUUCGGACCAAAGAUUUAUCGCCUUUGGAUGGGCCCGCGUUGGAUUAGCUAGUUGGUAGGGUAAAAGCCUACCAAGGCGACGAUCCAUAGCUGGUCUGAGAGGAUGAUCAGCCACACUGGGACUGAGGCACGGCCCAGACUCCUACGGGAGGCAGCAGUGGGGAAUAUUGGACAAUGGGCGAAAGCCUGAUCCAGCAAUGCCGCGUGAGUGAUGAAGGCCUUAGGGUUGUAAAGCUCUUUUACCCGGGAUGAUAAUGACAGUACCGGGAGAAUAAGCACCGGCUAACUCCGUG
rnacentral:rRNA from 1 species